GGAUCAAUAGCUCAACUGGUUAGAGUCCCCGCCUCAUAAGCGGGUUGUUGCAGGUUCGAGUCCUGCUUGAUCCA
rnacentral:tRNA from 1 species